rnacentral:rRNA from 1 species
UACGUAGGGUGUAAGCGUUAUCCGGAAUUAUUGGGCGUAAAGAGCUCGUAGGCGGUUUGUCGCGUCUGCUGUGAAAACUGGAGGCUCAACCUCCAGCCUGCAGUGGGUACGGGCAGACUAGAGUGCGGUAGGGGAGAUUGGAAUUCCUGGUGUAGCGGUGGAAUGCGCAGAUAUCAGGAGGAACACCGAUGGCGAAGGCAGAUCUCUGGGCCGUAACUGACGCUGAGGAGCGAAAGCAUGGGGAGCGAACAGG